UGGGGAAUUUUGCACAAUGGGGGAAACCCUGAUGCAGCGACGCCGCGUGAUUUAGAAGGCCUUCGGGUUGUAAAAAUCUUUUUUACGGGAUGAAAAUGACAGUACCGUAAGAAUAAGGUCCGGCUAAAUACGUGCCAGCAGCCGCGGUAAUACGUAUGGACCGAGCGUUGUCCGGAAUCAUUGGGCGUAAAGGGUACGUAGGCGGCCUAGUAAGUUAGAAGUGAAAUAAUAUAGCUCAACUAUAUAAAGCUUUUAAAACUGCUAGGCUUGAGAGAUGGAAGGGAAAGUGGAAUUCCUAGUGUAGCGGUGAAAUGCGCAGAUAUUAGGAAGAAUACCGGUGGCGAAGGCGACUUUCUGGUCAUCAUCUGAUGCUGAGGUACGAAAGCGUGGGUAGCAAACAGG
rnacentral:rRNA from 1 species